AAUAUUGGACAAUGGGGGCAACCCUGAUCCAGCCAUGCCGCGUGUGUGAAGAAGGUCUUCGGAUUGUAAAGCACUUUAAGUUGGGAGGAAGGGCUUUAGGCUAAUACCCUGAAGUUUUGACGUUACCAACAGAAUAAGCACCGGCUAACUCUGUGCCAGCAGCCGCGGUAAUACAGAGGGUGCAAGCGUUAAUCGGAAUUACUGGGCGUAAAGCGCGCGUAGGCGGUGGCGUGAGUCGGGCGUGAAAGCCCCGGGCUUAACCUGGGAAUUGCGUUCGAUACUGCGCUGCUAGAGUACGGUAGAGGGUAGUGGAAUUUCCUGUGUAGCGGUGAAAUGCGUAGAUAUAGGAAGGAACACCAGUGGCGAAGGCGACUACCUGGACUGAUACUGACACUGAGGUGCGAAAGCGUGGGGAGCAAACA
rnacentral:rRNA from 1 species